rnacentral:misc_RNA from 1 species
GUGAAUCAUCGAAUCUUUGAACGCACCUUGCACCCUUUGGUAUUCCGAAGGGUACGCCCGUUUGAGUGUCAUUGUAAUCUCACAUCAACAACUUUUGUUGUGGAUGGUGGAAUUGGAUGUCUGUCGUGUAUACGACUCAUCUGAAAUGCAUGAGUGUACCCUGCCUUGCAGCGUAUCCAGUGUGAUAAGUAUCUUCACUGGUUUAGCCUUCAUAGGCGACGCCUUGGCCACAGGUAGUAUGCUUCUAACCGUCCUCUGGACAAUACCUUGACAAUUUGACCUCAAAUCGGGUGGGACUACCCGCUGAACUUAAGCAUAUCAAUAAGCGGAGGA